GACGAACGCUGGCGGCGUGCUUAACACAUGCAAGUCGAACGGAAAGGCCCUGCUUUUGUGGGGUGCUCGAGUGGCGAACGGGUGAGUAACACGUGAGUAACCUGCCCUUGACUUUGGGAUAACUUCAGGAAACUGGGGCUAAUACCGGAUAGGAGCUCCUGCUGCAUGGUGGGGGUUGGAAAGUUUCGGCGGUUGGGGAUGGACUCGCGGCUUAUCAGCUUGUUGGUGGGGUAGUGGCUUACCAAGGCUUUGACGGGUAGCCGGCCUGAGAGGGUGACCGGCCACAUUGGGACUGAGAUGCGGCCCGUACUCCUUCUGGAGGCAGCAGUGGGGAAUAGUGCACAAUGGGCGGAAGGCUGAUGCAGCAACGCCGCGUGCGGGAUGACGGCCGUCGGGUUGUAAACCGCGUUCGCCUGGGACGAAGCGUGAGUGACGGUAAUGGGUAAAGAAGCACCGGCUAACUACGUG
rnacentral:rRNA from 1 species